rnacentral:pre_miRNA from 1 species
UUAACUUAAAUUUGUAUGGAGUUGGAACGUUUGCCUACGUUUGCCGCUAGGGGCGCUGUUCCAACUGCAUACAAAUUUGAGUUA